AUGUUCCUGAAUGCUACCCAGCCUCCCGUUCACCCCCUGUCCUGCUCCUCAACCCCAAACCCCCUUCUGUCUCUCGUUGCCCUUCCCCCCCCCCCACCCGCCUGCUCCCCAGACGAGGGCUACCCCUCCGCCCCCGCCUCCCCCUCCUCAUCCGACUACCUGGGGGUCAAAGGUCAGACAGGCUUAGGGUCAGAGGUCACCAAACUAGGCCUCCUGGACUUCCUGGAGUCAGUGGGAGACUUUGGAAAGAUGGAGCGCUUUAGCCAGGUGAUUCAGGUGGCUCGCUGGGACCUGGAGGGGGAUCCUCAGGGGGAUCUACUGAGGGAUCGACUGGAUCACCUGGACCGACUGGAGAGUGUCAACAGGCAGGUGAAGCUGGCCCACAUCACCAGGCUCCAUGAGAAGGGACUGGAUCUAGGCGAUCUGGGCAAGCUGUAUAAGGGCCGGGGAGGGUCUUUGGGAGAUUCCCAGGAGUUCUCUGAUGCUGGAGUGGACCUGACAGCACCUUCAGACUGUGACGAGCCCCUGGUCUCACAAUCAGAGACCUCUUCGCCCAUAGAGCCCCCACCGAGACCCCCCAAACCCCCUGCCCGCUAUGCCAGCGUGAACUCUGAACUCCACACCUACAUCAACAUCAGCCGUGACAUCACCCCCUCCGUCUCUGUCUGCACCUCUCCAUCCUCAUCCCCCACUUUCUACACCUUCAGGUGUGAGAAGGCCCUCCCUCCUUCCCCACGCUCUGUCCCCCCUCCUCUUCUCUGUCAGCCCAUCCCUUACUUUACUCUCUACAAAUCUUCCCCUCUCCCAUUCUCCCUCCCCUCCUCCACUCCCCCCAUCCCUCCCCCUCGGAGGAAGCACCUAGCCCGUAAGGAGGCUCAGCGUCUCGCCACCCUCCAAGCAGGAUGCGGGAAGACCCCCCUGUCCCUCUCCACUCCCACCUCUCACCUCCCUCCUUUCCCCCCUGCCCCCACCAUUUCCAUCUCCAACUCCACUACCCCCCCCUGCCAUCCCUCCCCCGCCCUCUCUCCCCCCUCCUCCCUCUUUCCAUGCGUUGGAUGA
rnacentral:lncRNA from 1 species